GAAGUUCCUACACAAAAAAAGGAUCAUUUGAAAGCACCUGGAAUGAGUCUCACUCUGUUGCCCAAGGUGGAGAGAAGUGGCACGCUUUUGUCUCACUGCAACCUCCACCUCCCGAGUUCAAGUGAUUCUCGUGCCUCAACCUCCCAAUUAUAGGCUGGGAUUACAGAUGAGAUCUGGCUCUAUCACCCAGGCUAAAGUGCAGUGGCAUGAUCUAGGCUAACUCCCUGGCUCAAGCGAUCCUUCCACCUCAGCCUCCCAAGUACCUGGGACUACAGGCACUCACGGCCACACCUGACUAAUUUUUGUAUUUUUUUGUAGAGAUGGAGUAUCGCCAUGUUGCCCAGCUUCCUUUGAGGAAUGAAAAUCAUUGUUUGCUGUACAUUUGAUCAGAAGAAAAAAGAAAAACUGAAAUUAGUGAAGUCAGUGAAGUCUUCGGUCCCGUCCUGAAUCAUUUUUACCCUCUGUUUAGGGACAGGUCUAGAACGAGUGAGCACAAAACUGAAGAGUGUGCCGAAAAUCUCAGCAAUCAAGAUAACAUUUGAACUCCAUUUUU
rnacentral:lncRNA from 1 species